rnacentral:rRNA from 1 species
UAACGCGUGGAUAACCUGCCUCACACAGGGGGAUAACAGUUAGAAAUGACUGCUAAUACCGCAUAAGCGCACGGCAUCGCAUGAUGCAGUGUGAAAAACUCCGGUGGUGUGAGAUGGAUCCGCGUCUGAUUAGGUAGUUGGUGGGGUAACGGCCCACCAAGCCGACGAUCAGUAGCCGACCUGAGAGGGUGACCGGCCACAUUGGGACUGAGACACGGCCCAA